UACGUAGGGGGCAAGCGUUGUCCGGAAUCAUUGGGCGUAAAGAGCGUGUAGGCGGCCAGAUAAGUCCGCUGUGAAAUCUCGAGGCUCAACUUCGAGCUGUCGGUGGAAACUGUCUGGCUAGAGUCCGGAAGAGGAGAAUGGAAUUCCUGGUGUAGCGGUGAAAUGCGCAGAUAUCAGGAAGAACACCCGUGGCGAAGGCGGCUCUCUGGGACGGUACUGACGCUGUGGCACGAAGGCUAGGGGAGCAAACGGG
rnacentral:rRNA from 1 species